rnacentral:rRNA from 1 species
AUUGAACGCUAGCGGGAUGCCUUACACAUGCAAGUCGAACGGAGUGGCGGACGGGUGAGUAAUAUAUCGGAAAGUGCCCAGUAGAGGGGGAUAACUACUGGAAAGAGUGGCUAAUACCGCAUACUAUCGGAGGGGCCGAUAUGGGAUUAGCUAGUUGGUGGGGUAAAGGCUCACCAAGGCAACGAUCCGUAGCUGGUUUGAGAGGAGGACCAGCCACACUGGGACUGAGACACGGUCCAGACGCCUACGUGAGGCAGCAGUGGGGAAUUUUGGACAAUGGGUGAAACCCUGAUGCAGCCAUCCCGAGUGUAUGAUGAAGGCCUUCGGGUUGUAAAGUACUUUUGGCGGGGAAGCGGUACCUGCAGAAUAAGCACCGGCUAACUACGUGCCAGCAGCCGCGGUAAUUC